rnacentral:rRNA from 1 species
CCUACGGGAGGCUGCAGUGGGGAAUAUUGGACAAUGGGCGAAAGCCUGAUCCAGCCAUGCCGCGUGUGUGAGAAGGCCUUCGGGUUGUAAAGCACUUUCAGUGGGGAAGAAAGCCUUGGGGCUAAUACCCUCGAGGAAGGACAUCACCCACAGAAGAAGCACCGGCUAACUCCGUGCCAGCAGCCGCGGUAAUACGGAGGGUGCGAGCGUUAAUCGGAAUUACUGGGCGUAAAGCGCGCGUAGGCGGUCUGAUAAGCCGGUUGUGAAAGCCCCGGGCUCAACCUGGGAACGGCAUCCGGAACUGUCAGGCUAGAGUGCAGGAGAGGAAGGUAGAAUUCCCGGUGUAGCGGUGAAAUGCGUAGAGAUCGGGAGGAAUACCAGUGGCGAAGGCGGCCUUCUGGACUGACACUGACGCUGAGGUGCGAAAGCGUGGGUAGCAAACAGGAUUAGAUACCCUAGUAGUC